rnacentral:rRNA from 1 species
UACGGGGGGGGCAAGCGUUGUUCGGAAUUACUGGGCGUAAAGGGCUCGUAGGCGGCCAACUAAGUCGGAUGUGAAAUCCCCAGGCUCAACCUGGGAACUGCAUCCGAUACUGGAUGGCUUGAAUCCGGGAGAGGGAUGCAGAAUUCCAGGUGUAGCGGUGAAAUGCGUAGAUAUCUGGAGGAAUACCGGUGGCGAAGGCGGCAUCCUGGACCGGCAUUGACGCUGAGGGGCGAAAGCCAGGGGAGCAAACGGGG